GAUGAACGCUGGCGGCGUGCCUAACACAUGCAAGUCGAACGGAAAGGCUCCUGCUUGCCGGGGUACUCGAGUGGCGAACGGGUGAGUAACACGUGGGGGAUCUGCCCUGCACUUCGGGAUAAGCCUGGGAAACUGGGGCUAAUACCGGAGAGGACCUCUUGAUGGAUGGUGUGGUGGAAAGUUUGUCGGUGUUGGUUGAGCUUGUGGCCUAUCAGCUUGUUAGUGGGGUAAUGGCCUACCAAGGCGUCGACGGGUAGCCGGCCUGAGAGGGUGUACGGCCACAUUGGGCCUAAGAUACGGCGCAGUAUCGAACGGGAGGCAACAGUCGGAAAUCUUGCGCAGUGGGGGCGAGCCUGAUGCGAAGACGCCGCGUGGGGAAUGACGGCCUUCGGGUUGUAAACUCCUUUCGCAAGAGACGAAGCGCAAGUGACGGUACCUGGAGAAGAAGCACCGGCUAACUACGUG
rnacentral:rRNA from 1 species